rnacentral:rRNA from 1 species
UACGGGGGGUGCGAGCGUUGUCCGGAAUCACUGGGCGUAAAGGGUGCGUAGGUGGGUUGGUAAGUCCGUGGUGAAAUCUCCGAGCUUAACUCGGAAACUGCCGUGGAUACUAUCAAUCUUGAAUACUGUGGAGGUAAGCGGAAUAUGUCAUGUAGCGGUGAAAUGCUUAGAUAUGACAUAGAACACCGAUAGCGGAGGCAGCUUGCUACACAGUCAUUGACACUGAGGCACGAAAGCGUGGGGAUCAAACAGG